UACGUAGGGGGCAAGCGUUGUCCGGAUUUAUUGGGCGUAAAGAGCGUGUAGGCGGCCAUUCAGGUCAGCUGUGAAAACUCGAGGCUCAACCUCGAGACGUCGGUUGAAACCGUUUGGCUAGAGUCCGGAAGAGGAGAGUGGAAUUCCCGGUGUAGCGGUGAAAUGCGCAGAUAUCGGGAAGAACACCCGUGGCGAAGGCGGCUCUCUAGUACGGUACUGACGCUGAGACGCGGAAAAGCGUG
rnacentral:rRNA from 1 species